GUUCGCGUAGCUUAAUUGGUUAAAGCACCCGACUCAUAAUCGGUCGAUUGAAGGUUCAAACCCGUCCGCGAACACCA
rnacentral:tRNA from 1 species